GACCCCGCCCAUCGCCGGGUAAUCAACGGUCCGUCUGAACCGAACUGCAGUGCAGAGCCGGGAUGGGGGGCUUGGCCCCGGUCCAGCACGGUCAAAAUUAGCUCUCUUUUGAAUUACAUGCAGUCAGCCAUUGGAAGCGGCUGAGUUCCAGUCCUGCAGCCUUGUAUGGGGUGUCAGAGCCCCGCAAGGCUGCUGCUCGGGUCUGCCUUCAUCCACAGACGUCUUUUCCAGCAGUAACUUUACAGUGAAAGGACAAGAACAAAGGCUUUAUCUGUUCCUUCUUCAAAAUGACACCAACAGAAGCAAUGGGGGAUCCCAUUAGAGCGAACGGCCUUGUUCCCGAGCCUGGCGGUGUGGAGAGGAACCGCCACGAAAGAUCGACAUUCCUGUCUGAUGUAGGAUAGAGAACAUGGCCCUCCGGGGGAGAGAUUGUAUCCUCAUAAAAACCUGGGACUCUAAGCCUUGAUGAUAUGCUCUUCGGAA